AUGAACGCUGGCGGCGUGCCUAAUCCCUGCAAGUCGAGCGAACAGACGAGGAGCUUGCUCCUCUGACGUUAGCGGCGGACGGGUGAGUAACACGUGGAUAACCUACCUAUAAGACUGGGAUAACUUCGGGAAACCGGAGCUAAUACCGGAUAAUAUAUUGAACCGCAUGGUUCCAUAGUGAAAGACGGUUUUGCUGUCACUUAUAGAUGGAUCCGCGCCGCAUUAGCUAGUUGGUAAGGUAACGGCUUACCAAGGCGACGAUGCGUAGCCGACCUGAGAGGGUGAUCGGCCACACUGGAACUGAGACACGGUCCAGACUCCUACGGGAGGCAGCAGUAGGGAAUCUUCCGCAAUGGGCGAAAGCCUGACGGAGCAACGCCGCGUGAGUGAUGAAGGUCUUCGGAUCGUAAAACUCUGUUAUUAGGGAAGAACAAAUGUGUAAGUAACUAUGCACGUCUUGACGGUACCUAAUCAGAAAGCCACGGCUAACUACGUG
rnacentral:rRNA from 1 species